GGCGACGCUUAUCUCUGUCCCCAAAAUUCAACUUUUGCCAAGGAGAGAUAGUUUUGGAUUUGGAAUAAGCAAAAUAAGCGGACAAUAUAAGGUUGUCUAUCAUUACCCUGAAUCCGGAUUUCACGUAUACACAAUUGAAGCAGAAUCUUCGUGGAGACGCGUUAAAGUUGCUGCACCCUUGUUUGAUCGCUCCUAUAACACUAUUGGUGCACUUUGUAGUGGGAAACUCCACUGGUUAGUGUCAUCUAAGUUAGCCACUCCUUAUGUUUGUUGCUUUGAUCUUGAAACAGAACAAUUUAACACCUUCUCUACACCUGUUCCGGGAUGUUCAAUAACCACGUUGAAGUUGUAUACUUUGAGGGAUUGUCUGUGUUAUUCUGAUAUCGAAGUUGAUGAUAAUUCUAUCUGGUUGUUGAAAGGAUAUGAACAGGCAGAGAAAUCUUGGAUCGAAGGUACAAUUAAACAUGACGGAACUUUAUUAUAGUUUACAUGUGAUUAUGAAAGGUGAAGAUGCCUACAAAUGUUCUAAGCCUAUCAAAGUUUACAUACAAACUUGGUGAUAUAUUUAUUUUAUGGGAUCAGAAUAUUGGAUACCAUGUGAACUCCAUUCUCUUCACUCCAAGUUUUCUCUCGCUCAAAAGAAAUUUAGGAUUGAAGAAUGUACACUUACAUUAGGAAUAAACAUUUCUGAUUUUCAUUUCAGGGUGUCAUGUUGAUUAUUGUUGCCACUUAUGUUUAUUGUUUUUGUUCAAUGAUUAUUUUUGUAUUA